rnacentral:lncRNA from 1 species
GUAUGUAGGCUAAACUUUCUCUCUCGAAAGUGAAUUUCAUAUUGUUUUUAAGUUUAUGUGUGGUUUACCUACCAAAAUUGUAUAGUCCUGAGUCACAUUUUAAAAGAAGUUUGGCAUGCUAAUCGACUAAGAAGAAUUUCUCUAUUUAAUGCUCCUAGUUGCUCUUGUGUGUGCUAAAUAACUUGAUUGAUUAUGUCUA